rnacentral:misc_RNA from 1 species
AAGUCGUAACAAGGUUUCCGUAGGUGAACCUGCGGAAGGAUCAUUAUCAAAAUGAUUUUAACUCUCUUAAUCCAGAGUUAACCUCUUCUAAACCAAUCUAAUAAAAUGUGAAUUGUUAUAUUAUAUAUUUAUUGUGAAGGUGGGUGGGUUCUCACUCACUCGCUCGAUCAAUAAAUCUAUUCUUAUUUAACCAAUUGAACCCUUUUAUAAUUUUUGUUAUUUUAUUUCUAUUUAGUUCUGAAAUAUUAUUAUAUCUUCAAUAGCAAUAUUGAGCCUAUAAUAAGUUACAUUACGAAACAAUAUAAAUAAAACAACUCUUAGCAACGGAUAUCUUGGUUCUCGUAACGAUGAAGAACGUAGC